rnacentral:rRNA from 1 species
GACGAACGCUGGCGGCGUGCUUAACACGUGCAAGUCGAACGAUGAAGCUGGAGCUUGCUCCGGUGGAUUAGUGGCGAACGGGUGAGUAACACGUGAGCAAUCUGCCCUUGACUCUGGGAUAACUGCGGGAAACUGUAGCUAAUACCGGAUACGAGGCUCGAAGGCAUCUUCGGGUCUGGAAAGAAUUUCGGUCAAGGAUGAGCUCGCGGCCUAUCAGCUUGUUGGUGAGGUAAUGUCUCACCAAGGCGACGACGGGUAGCCGGCCUGAGAGGGUGACCGGCCACACUGGGACUGAGACACGGCCCAGACUCCUACGGGAGGCAGCAGUGGGGAAUAUUGCACAAUGGGCGAAAGCCUGAUGCAGCAACGCCGCGUGAGGGAUGAAGGCCUUCGGGUUGUAAACCUCUUUAGCGGGGAAGAAGCGAAAGUGACGGUACCUGCAGAAAAAGCACCGGCUAACUACGUGCCAGCCGCCGCGGUAA